CGAGUUUCCAGCUCCACAACCUAAGACAUCAGAGGCAGCAUUGGUUCCUCACGUAGAGUCCAGCUCCGGGACCCUCAUAUUUGAACUGCAGGGCCAUCUCAUCCCUGGAUCUCCAGCUGCACCACACUCAAAUUAGAACAACAUCAGCUCCUCCCCAGGUCUCCACCUGCACAGCCCUCGAAUGGGAACGUCAGCUCCUCCCCGGGUCUCCAGCUGCAGGGCCCUAAAACUAGAACAUCAGCUCCCGCCUGGGUCGCCAGCAGCACCACCCUCAAACUGGAACAUCAGAUCCCCAUGGGUCUCCAGCUGCAGGGCCCUCAAACUGGAACAUCAGCUCCCCACCAGAUCUCCAGCUGCACGGACCUCAAACUGGAACAUCAGCUCCCCGCCGGGUCUCCAGCUGCACUGCCUGCAAACUGGAACAUGAGCUCCCUGCCGGGUCUCCAGCUGCAUGGCCCUCAAACUGGAACAUCAGCUCCCCACCAGAUUGCCAGCUGCACGGCCCUCAAACUGGAAUAUCAGCUCCACCCCGGGGCUCCAGGUGCACAGCCCUCAACCUGCAACAUCAGCUCCCCACUGGGUCUCCAGAUGAACGGCCCUCAACCUGCAACAUCAGCUCCCCACCGGGUCUCCAGAUGCAUGGCCCUCAAACUGGAACAUCGGCUCCCCACCGGGUCUCCAGCUGCAUGGCCUUAAACUGGAACAUCAGUUCCCCCCGGGCAUACAGCUGCAUGGCCUUAAACUGGAACAUCAGCUCCCCGCCCAGGUCUCCAGAUGCAUGGCCCUCAAACUGGAACAUCAGUUCCCUGCCGGGUCUCCAGCUGCACGGCCCUCAAACUGGAACAUCAGCUCCCUGCCAGGUCUCCAGCUGCAUGGCCCUCAAAUUGCAACAUCAGCUCCCAUCAGAGCCUCCAGCUGCAUGGCCAUCAAACUGGAACAUCAGCUCCCCCGCGGGUCUCCAGCUGCACAGACCUCAAACUUGAACAUCAGCUCCCCGCCGGGUCAUCAACUGCAUGGCCCUCAAACUGGAACAUCAGCUCCACCCCUGGGUCUCCAGUAGCACGGCCCUACAACUGGAACAUCAGCUUCCCCCUGGGUCUCCGGCUGCACAGCCCUACAACCGGAACAUCAGCUCCCUGCCGGGUCUCCAGCUGCACGGCCC
rnacentral:lncRNA from 1 species